rnacentral:rRNA from 1 species
CCAGACUCCUACGGGAGGCAGCAGUGAGGAAUAUUGGUCAAUGGGCUUACGCCUGAACCAGCCAAGUCGCGUGAGGGAAGACUGCCCUAUGGGUUGUAAACCUCUUUUGUCAGGGAGCAACGCCGGCUACGUGUAGCCGGACUGAGAGUACCUGAAGAAAAAGCAUCGGCUAACUCCGUGCCAGCAGCCGCGGUAAUACGGAGGAUGCGAGCGUUAUCCGGAUUUAUUGGGUUUAAAGGGUGCGUAGGCGGGCAUUUAAGCCGGCGGUCAAAUGUCGGGGCUCAACCCCGGCCUGCCGUCGGAACUGGGUGCCUUGAGUGGGCGAGAAGUAUGCGGAAUGCGUGGUGUAGCGGUGAAAUGCAUAGAUAUCACGCAGAACCCCGAUUGCGAAGGCAGCAUACCGGCGCCCUACUGACGCUGAGGCACGAAAGUGCGGGUAUCGAACAGGAUUAGAUACCCUUGUA